rnacentral:tRNA from 1 species
GGCGGUGUAGCUCAGCUGGCUAGAGCGUACGGUUCAUACCCGUAAGGUCGGGGGUUCGAUUCCCUCCGCCGCUA